rnacentral:rRNA from 1 species
UACGUAGGGGGCAAGCGUUGUCCGGAAUCAUUGGGCGUAAAGAGCGUGUAGGCGGCUCGAUAAGUCUGCUGUGAAAGUCCAGGGCUCAACCCUGGAAGGCCGGUGGAAACUGUCGGGCUAGAAUCCGGAAGAGGCGAGUGGAAUUCCCGGUGUAGCGGUGAAAUGCGCAGAUAUCGGGAGGAACACCGGUGGCGAAGGCGGUUCUCUGGGCCUUACCUGACGCUGAGGAGCGAAAGCGUGGGGAGCGAACAGG